CAUUUUUUAAGCCAUAGGGGCGAGGAAAUAUUUAUUCUUUCAUUUUCUGGUGCUCUCGCAGGAAACCCCGGCUCUUUGCUCGAACCAGUCAUGGCUUCUCUCUCUCUAAAGCCUUUAUACGCAAUCUUCCUGCUCCUAACCCUAACUCUAACCCUAGAAUCCAUCAUUGUUCGAGCUUCGGACUCGUCCUCUCACUACUCGAAGUUCUCAGGCGUGAUAAUCCCUGGUUUCGCUUCUACUCAGCUUAGGGCUUGGUCGGUACUCGAUUGCCCUUACUCUCCUCUCGAUUUCAACCCCCUCGAUGCUGUAUGGCUUGAUACCCGGAAGGUUCUAUCUGCUGUGAAUUGUUGGCUCAAAUGCAUGCUACUAGACCCUUAUAAUCAAACAGACCAUCCUGAGUGCAAAUCACGACCUGACAGUGGACUUUCUGCAAUUACAGAGUUGGAUCCAGGUUAUAUAACAGGUCCUCUUUCUUCUGUCUGGAAGGACUGGGUCCGAUGGUGCAUUGAGUUUGGAAUUGAGGCAAAUGCAAUCAUGGCGGUUCCUUAUGACUGGAGACUAUCGGCAUCAAUGCUUGAGGAGCGAGACCUUUACUUUCAUAAGCUAAAGUUAACUUUUGAGACUGCCCUCAAACUCCGUGGUGGUCCAUCUUUGGUGUUUGCUCAUUCGAUGGGUAACAAUGUCUUCCAUUAUUUUUUAGAGUGGCUGAAGUUGGAAAUUGCACCCAAAAUGUAUAACAAAUGGCUUGACGAUCACAUACAUGCUUAUUUUGCCGUUGGUGCUCCACUUCUUGGUGCACCAGAGUCUGUCAAAGCAGUACUUUCUGGAGUUACUUAUGGCCUUCCAAUUGCUGAGGGAACAGCUCGUUUGAUGUACAAUUCGUUUGGUUCGUCUUUGUGGUUACUGCCAUUCUCAGAACAUUGUAGGGCAGAUAAUUCGCACUGGAGACACUUAUUUGAUGGGAAAGUAAGAGGAAAUAACACAAGCCAUUGUGCUGAUGUGGAAUUUCAGCUGAAUUUUUCUGGAUGGCCAGCAGACAUUAUCAAUAUUGAAGUUCCUUCUAAGAUGGGCAACAGUAGUGCCUAUCCAUCUUUUGCAGAAGAAGCAAAUGCUGUAACAUCAGAAAUGGAAUGUGGAAUGCCUGUUCAGUUAUCUUUUUCAGCUAGAGAGUUGUCAGAUGGAACCUUUUUCAAAGCAAUAGAGGACUAUGACCCGGAUAGCGAGAGGCUUCUGUACCAACUCCAGAAGUUGUAUCAUGAUGAUCCGGUGCUUAAUCCUUUAACACCUUGGGAUAGACCACCAUUAAAGAACAUUUUCUGUAUAUAUGGUGUAGACAUGAAAACUGAGGUUGGGUACCAUUUUGCUCCAAGUGGGAAGCCAUAUCCUGAUAACUGGAUCGUAACUGAUGUUAUAUAUGAAUUUGAACAAGCACUAAACUCAAGAUCUGGGAAUUCAGUUAAUGGGAAUCAUGGACACACAAGUGGGGACGAGACGGUGCCAUACCAUUCUCUCUCAUGGUGUAAGACUUGGCUGGGGAAUCGAGUGAAUGUUACAAGGAGUCCUCAGUCAGAGCAUGAGGGUCUUGAUGUCCAAGUGCACCUAAAUGUAGGGCAUCAUGGAAGAGACAUAGUUCCUAACAUGACAAGGGCACAGCGUGUGAAAUAUAUAACUUAUUAUGAAGAUGGUGAAAGCAUUCCAGGAAGAAGGACUGCUGUUUGGGAGCUUGAUAAAGUUGAUAAUUUGGAUGCUGGGGAUGCAUUUCUAAUCAUGGAAAAUUUUGGGAGGUGCCAACCACGAGCUGGUGAAUCAUAGGAACAUAGUUCGCUCUCCUGUUCUUAUGCGAGAACUAUGGCUGGAAAUGUGGCAUGAUACCCAUCCUGAUGCGAAAUCGAAGUUUGUUACAAAGGCUAAACGAGGACCUUUGAGGCAUGAUGACUGUUACUGGGAUUACGGAAAAGCACGGUGUGCUUGGCCUGACCAUUGUGAAUACAGGUAUCUCUUUGGGGAUGUUCAUCUUGGACAGAGCUGUAGGCUGAAGAUUUCUCCUGAUGAUCUUCUUUCACACUAUCUAUAGACCUCUCAGUGAAUUUCGUCACUUGUCAAUUACCAUAAGCUGGCAUUUUGUAGCUACAACACAGGAUAAUUUCAUUGCUUAUCAUGCCAUAGAUACCCUCUGAAACUCAUAAUUUAUUUCAAUGGUGCUAACUUUUCCGACUAAUAAUGUAUUGUACAUGUGAUCAUAUGAUCGGGAUCAUUCUGUAGGUUGAUAUUGACUUGAGAUGAUCAAUUGUAAGGAGAAAUUGCAUCGUAUGAACUUGCUUUUAUUGCGCUAAA